rnacentral:rRNA from 1 species
AGCGAACGCUGGCGGCAGGCCUAACACAUGCAAGUCGAACGGAUCCUUCGGGAUUAGUGGUGGACGGGUGAGUAACACGUGGGAACGUGCCCUUUGGUUCGGAACAACUCAGGGAAACUUGAGCUAAUACCGGAUGUGCCCUUCGGGGGAAAGAUUUAUCGCCAUUGGAGCGGCCCGCGUCUGAUUAGCUAGUUGGUGAGGUAACGGCCCACCAAGGCGACGAUCAGUAGCUGGUCUGAGAGGAUGAUCAGCCACACUGGGACUGAGACACGGCCCAGACUCCUACGGGAGGCAGCAGUGGGGAAUCUUGCGCAAUGGGCGAAAGCCUGACGCAGCCAUGCCGCGUGAAUGAUGAAGGUCUUAGGAUUGUAAAAUUCUUUCAGCGGGGACGAUAAUGACGGUACCCGCAGAAGAAGCUCCGGCUAACUUCGUG